rnacentral:rRNA from 1 species
CCCUUAGAUGUUCUGGGCUGCACGCGCGCUACACUGAAGCGUUCAACGAGUAUUCACCUUGCCCGGGAGGGUUGGGUAAUCUUUUGAAAACGCUUCGUGAUGGGGAUAGAUUAUUGCAAUUAUUAAUCUUCAACGAGGAAUUCCUAGUAAGCGCGAGUCAUCAGCUCGUGCUGAAUACGUCCCUGCCCUUUGUACACACCGCCCGUCGCUCCUACCGAUUGAGUGGUCCGGUGAGGCUUUGGGAUCUGAGCGGAAAGAGCGUUUCGCUGUUUCUGCUCGGAAAACUCAGUCGAACCUUAUCAUUUAGAGGAAGGAGAAGUCGUAACA